rnacentral:rRNA from 1 species
GACGAACGCUGGCGGCGUGCUUAACACAUGCAAGUCGAACGGAAAGGCCCUGCUUUUGUGGGGUGCUCGAGUGGCGAACGGGUGAGUAACACGUGAGUAACCUGCCCUUGACUUUGGGAUAACUUCAGGAAACUGGGGCUAAUACCGGAUAGGAGCUCCUGCUGCAUGGUGGGGGUUGGAAAGUUUCGGCGGUUGGGGAUGGACUCGCGGCUUAUCAGCUUGUUGGUGGGGUAGUGGCUUACCAAGGCUUUGACGGGUAGCCGGCCUGAGAGGGUGACCGGCGACAUUGGGACUGAGAUAGGGCCCAGACUCCUACGGGAGGCAGCAGUGGGGAAUAUUGCACAAUGGGCGGAAGCCUGAUGCAGCAGCGCCGCGUGCGGGAUGACGGCCUUCGGGUUGUAAACCGCUUUCGCCUGUGACGAAGCGUGAGUGACGGUAAUGGGUAAAGAAGCACCGGCUAACUACGUG